UGGGGAAUAUUGGGCAAUGGGCGAAAGCCUGACCCAGCAACGCCGCGUGAAGGAAGAAGGUUUUCGGAUUGUAAACUUAUGUCCUCAGGGAAGCGGUACCUGAGGAGGAAGCCCCGGCUAACUACGUGCCAGCAGCCGCGGUAAUACGUAGGGGGCGAGCGUUGUCCGGAAUGACUGGGCGUAAAGGGCGCGUAGACGGUUGUCUAAGUCUGGAGUGAAAGUCCUGCUUUCAAGGUGGGAAUUGCUUUGGAGACUGAAUGACUUGAGUGCGGAAGAGGUAAGUGGAAUUCCCAGUGUAGCGGUGAAAUGCGUAGAGAUUGGGAGGAACACCAGUGGCGAAGGCGACUUACUGGGCCGUAACUGACGUUGAUGCGCGAAAGCGU
rnacentral:rRNA from 1 species